GAAUUUUGCGCAAUGGCCGCAAGGCUGACGCAGCAACGCCGCGUGAGUGAUGAAGGCCUUCGGGUCGUAAAGCCCUGUCAGGAGGGAAGAACCGCUUCGGUACUAAUACGGUCGAACCCUGACGGUACCACCAGAGGAAGCACCGGCUAACUCCGUGCCAGCAGCCGCGGUAAUACGGAGGGUGCAAGCGUUGUUCGGAAUUAUUGGGCGUAAAGAGCGUGUAGGCGGUCCGGUAAGUCAGAUGUGAAAGCCCUGGGCUCAACCCAGGAAGUGCAUUUGAAACUACCAGACUUGAGUACGGGAGAGGAGGGGGGAAUUCCCGGUGUAGAGGUGAAAUUCGUAGAUAUCGGGAGGAAUACCAGUGGCGAAGGCGCCCCUAUGGACCGAUACUGACGUUGAGACGCGAAAGCGUGGGGAGCAAACAGGAUUAGAUACCCUGGUAGUCCACGCCGUAAACGAUGAGCACUAGGUGUAGCGGGUAUUGACCCCUGCUGUGCCGUAGCUAACGCGUUAAGUGCUCCGCCUGGGGACUACGGUCGCAAGACUAAAACUCAAAGGAAUUGACG
rnacentral:rRNA from 1 species